GAAUCUGCCACAGUGGCGCUAGUUGUGAU
rnacentral:sRNA from 1 species